rnacentral:ncRNA from 1 species
CAAAGGUUUGGUCCUAGCCUUGUAUUCAAUUAUUGUUUAACUUAUACAUGCAAGUAUCCGCACCCCUGUGAGAACGCCCUUUAUUUUCUAUUGAAACAAGGAGCUGGUAUCAGGCACUAUAGACAGCCCAAAACACCUAGCUACGCCACAUCCUCAAGGAACUUCAGCAGUAAUUAACAUUGAGUAUAAGCGUCAGCUUGACUCAGUUAAGAUAAAGAAAGCCGGCAAAUACGGUGCCAGCCGCCGCGGUUACACCACGAGGCUUAAAUUGACUACUUUCGGCGUAAAGCGUGAUUAAAGUGUCUGCUAAAUAUAGUUACAUUUUAACUAAGCCGUGACACGCUUGUUAUUAAGAAACUCAUCAACGAAAGUUACUAUAUAUCUACCAACUUGAAUUCACGACAGCUAGGAAACAAACUGGGAUUAGAUACCCCACUAUGCCUAGCCGUAAACUUUUAAUUACAUCCAUAUCGCCUGGGAACUACGAGCCAAGCUUAAAACCCAAAGGACUUGACGGUACCCCAUAUCCCCCUAGAGGAGCCUGUCCUAUAAUCGAUAACCCCCGUUUAACCUCACCAUUUUUAGCUUAUCAGCCUGUAUACCUCCGUCGUCAGCUUACCUCGUGAGCGUCACAUAGUGAGCUUAAUGUUCUUACACCAGUACGUCAGGUCAAGGUGCAGUAUAUGAAAUGGAAAGAGAUGGGCUACACUCUCUAUAUUAGAGUAAACGAAAGACUAUUUAUGAAAUCUAGUCGGAAGGCGGAUUUAGUAGUAAAGAGGGACUAUAGCGCCCCCUUUAACUCGGCACUGGGGUGUGUACACACCGCCCGUCACCCUCUUCACAGUGAACUCGCAGUAAAUAACUAUACUCAACAAACAAGAAGAGGCAAGUCGUAACAUGGUAAGCGUACCGGAAGGUGUGCUUGGAAACAAAAU